CCCCAGAUGUUGCUGAAAUACAACUCCCAUGAUUCUUUGAAUUACAUAGAUAGCCAGAGAAUCAUGGGAGUUGUAGUUCAGCAACAUCUGGGG